CAUCAACUUUUGGAUUAUGAGGUACAGCAGCAGUUGGCAGCCCAACUUGAAGACUGGAAGUCUUUACUGCUUCGUCAUUGAAAGAAUAAGAGGCAAAUCGUGAAGAUGUAAACCAGUGAUGCUGGAAAGGAGAUGCUCUUCAGGACCACUCUUCUGAAGACCUCUAUUGGACACUUUGUUGCUUAAGAUAUCCCUGCUUCCAGUUGAGAACCCCGAACCUGUGUCCAGGCUGGACCCCGGCAAUGUGCUAUGGCACAGAGGUCAAUUUUAUGUACUUGGCUUUCCCCUUCACCUUUAUGUGUAUCGCAGGCAUGGACUCAGGUGGUCAGGCUUGCGGAGCAGUCAGUGCUUGCAACCAUGGAGCAUCUCAUCCACCCAACUGACUUCUGUUAGUGACUGUCUUAUACUUUAAACGCAAAUGAAUCCAUAAUUAUAUGCCCAAACUAUGCUCAUGAAUACACACACCACAUGUGAAAUAUGAAAGAAAGAUAAUGAGAAAGCGAUGAAUGAGCUCG
rnacentral:sRNA from 1 species